rnacentral:rRNA from 1 species
GGACGGCAGCAGGCGCGAAAAUUGCCCACUCUUUGCAGGAGGCAGUUAUGAGACGUGAAGAUGAGUAUCUUGUAAAGAGGGAUAGGAGAAUUGGAGGGCAAGUUUGGUGCCAGCAGCCGCGGUAAUACCGACUCCAAGAGUGUGUAUGAGAGAUGCUGCAGUUAAAAAGUCCGUAGUCAUAGAAGGGCAAAGAGAGAUGCGAGGUCUCACAGUGCGAUGAUGGAGGAGCCGAUGGGGAACAUAGUAUACCAGGGCGAGAGAUGAAAUGCCAAGACCCCUGGUGGACUGAGCGAGGCGAAGGCGAUGUUCUUGUAGGCAUUCGGUGAUCAAGGACGAAGGCUGGAGUAUCGAAAGUGAUUAGAUACCGCAGUAGUUCCAGCAGUAAAAGAUGCCGACAUGCUCAUUGGACACAGUGGGCAGGGAGAAAUCUUAGAGUUCGGGCUCUGGGGAUAGUAUGCUCGCAAGGGUGAAAAUUAAAGAAAUUGACGGAGCUACACCACAAGGAGUGGAUUGUGCGGCUUAAUUUGACUCAACGCGAGGAAACUUACCAGGGCCAAGUAUUGUGUAGAAACGAGCAAUACAGGAGUGGUGCAUGGUCGUUGGAAAUUGAUGGGAUGACUUUGACCUUAAAUGGUUGAAUGAGUGAGAUCUUUUGGACAUGUUCCGCACGGAACAGGAAGGAAAAGGCUAUAACAGAUCCGAGAUGCCCUCAGAUGCCCUGGGCUGCACGCGCAAUACAAUAGCAGGUAGAGAGAGAGACAGGAAGGUGCUCAGAUGGACUAUGUGCUGUAAGGCACAUACGAAAGAGGAAUUCCUAGUAAGUGUGUAUCAACAAUGGAUAU